rnacentral:rRNA from 1 species
UACCAGCACCCCGAGUGGUCGGGACGUUUAUUGGGCCUAAAGCAUCCGUAGCCGGUUCUACAAGUCUUCCGUUAAAUCCAGCUGCUUGACAGAUGGGCUGCGGAAGAUACUAUGGAGCUAGGAGGCGGGAGAGGCAAGCGGUACUCGAUGGGUAGGGGUAAAAUCCGUUGAUCCAUUGAAGACCACCAGUGGCGAAGGCGGCUUGCCAGAACGCGCUCGACGGUGAGGGAUGAAAGCUGGGGGAGCAAACCGG